CCUGGUGGCUCAGAUGGUAAAGAAUCUGCCUGCAAUGCAGAGGAUCCAGGUUCAAUCCCUGGGUCAGGA
rnacentral:tRNA from 1 species